rnacentral:tRNA from 1 species
GCACGAGUAGUUUAGUGGUUAGAAUUCAUGCUUCCCAAGCAUGGGGCCCGUGUUCGAUUCCCGGCUCGUGCA